rnacentral:rRNA from 1 species
AUACGGAGGGUGCAAGCGUUGUUCGGAAUCAUUGGGCGUAAAGCGGGUGUAGGCGGUCGUGCAAGUCGGAUGUGAAAGCCCGAGGCUCAACCUCGGAAUUGCAUUCGAAACUGCACGACUAGAGUCCCGGAGAGGAAGGCAGAAUUCCCGGUGUAGAGGUGAAAUUCGUAGAUAUCGGGAGGAAUACCAGUGGCGAAGGCGGCCUUCUGGACGGUGACUGACGCUCAGACCCGAAAGCGUGGGGAGCAAACAGGAUUAGAAACCCUGGUAGUCC